AAAGCCCAAGACAAAAGGAGACUGUAGGACGAUGCCAACAGAGACUUCUCUGACGGGCUUGUAGCAAAGAAUCAUUAUAAUGGAUUAUAUGUUCCUGAGUGGCGCUGCACCAUGAGACUUAAUGGCAGUGAGAUCCACUGGGCUGAACCUCUGCUGGUGUGUCUCACAAAACAGAAAGGCAGCCACUCCCUAUGGCUUGCUCCCACUAUCAUCUCACCAGUAGCAUUUACAGAUAAUGAAACAGAAGCAGACUGGAGAAGCAACUGAGACUGAGAUCACUACAGAAAACUACAACCAACUAAAAUGCACAGUUCCAACAGAUACAUCUGCAAUAGAGCUCCCACACCUAAGAUUCAGAGAAUGCUUUUGGAAGAGAGGGCAGAAAGAUUGUAACAGCCAGAGGAUCGGGGAGUUUGCUGUUCAGAUUGUGUCUCCCACUGUUGGAAGCUGCACUCAUAAAGUCUGGCCAACAUGACUUCCCAAAUGUGAACUGAACAAGGUGGUACCAAUGGACAUGACCAAGUAGAUGGGGAAAAGUCCAUGAGGCUUCAACCUUAGAAAAAAAAUGUAGGCAACUGGGUAAAGCUAACAACAGAAGAAGUGAUCUUCCCCAGGGAACUGGUUUUCUACUGCCAAAUGGUCAGCUCCCAAAACAAAUACGGGUAGUGUUAAAUAGACUUAGCAGCGUAUUAUUAGUAAUAUGAGUAUAUAUAGCACAUAUACAUAUGUGAGUAUACAUAUACACGCAAUAACAAUUAAUGAAAGUAGAGGCCAUGAAUUUGAAGAUGAGUAGGGAAGGGUAUAGUGGGAAGGAUUGGAGGGAGGAAA